rnacentral:rRNA from 1 species
UACGUAGGGGGCAAGCGUUGUCCGGAUUUAUUGGGCGUAAAGCGCGUGUAGGCGGCCACGCAGGUCCGUUGUGAAAACUCGAGGCUCAACCUCGAGACGUCGAUGGAAACCGUGUGGCUAGAGUCCGGAAGAGGAGUGUGGAAUUCCCGGUGUAGCGGUGAAAUGCGCAGAUAUCGGGAAGAACACCCAUGGCGAAGGCAGCACUCUGGGACGGUACUGACGCUGAGACGCGAAAGCGUGGGGAGCGAACAGGAUUAGAAACCCCAGUAGUCC